AAUCAACGCUGGCGGCGUGCCUAACACAUGCAAGUCGCACGAGAAAGGGGAGCAAUCCCUGAGUACAGUGGCGCACGGGUGAGUAACACGUGAAUUAUCUACCUCCGAGUGGGGAAUAACUGAGAGAAAUCUUAGCUAAUACCGCAUAACACUUACGAGUCAAAGCAGCAAUGCGCUUGGAGAGGAGUUCGCGGCAGAUUAGUUAGUUGGCGGGGUAAGNGG
rnacentral:rRNA from 1 species